rnacentral:rRNA from 1 species
GACGAACGCUGGCGGCGUGCCUAAUACAUGCAAGUCGAACGCUUCUUUCCUCCCGAGUGCUUGCACUCAAUUGGAAAGAGGAGUGGCGGACGGGUGAGUAACACGUGGGUAACCUACCCAUCAGAGGGGGAUAACACUUGGAAACAGGUGCUAAUACCGCAUAACAGUUUAUGCCGCAUGGCAUAAGAGUGAAAGGCGCUUUCGGGUGUCGCUGAUGGAUGGACCCGCGGUGCAUUAGCUAGUUGGUGAGGUAACGGCUCACCAAGGCCACGAUGCAUAGCCGACCUGAGAGGGUGAUCGGCCACACUGGGACUGAGACACGGCCCAGACUCCUACGGGAGGCAGCAGUAGGGAAUCUUCGGCAAUGGACGAAAGUCUGACCGAGCAACGCCGCGUGAGUGAAGAAGGUUUUCGGAUCGUAAAACUCUGUUGUUGGAGAAGAACAAGGACGGUAGUAACUGAACGUCCCCUGACGGUAACUAACCAGAAAGCCACGGCUAACUACGUG